AACGAACGCUGGCGGCAUGCCUAACACAUGCAAGUCGAACGAGACCUUCGGGCUUAGUGGCGCACGGGUGCGUAACGCGGGGGAACCUGCCCUUAAGUUCGGAAUAACUCCCCGAAUGGGGUCCUAAUACCGGAGAAUGUCUUCCGACCAAAGAUUUAUCGCCGUUGGAUGGGCCCGGGUUGGCUUAGCUAGUUGGUAGGGUAAAAGCCUACCAAUGCGACGAUCCAUAGCUGGUGUGAGAGGAUGAUCAGCCACACUGGUACUGAGACACGGCCCAGACUCCUACGGGAAGGAGCAGUGGGGAAUAUUGGACGAUGGGCGAAAGCCUGAUCCAGCAAUGCCGCGUGAGUGAUGAAGGCCGUAGGGUUGUAAAGCUCUUUUACCCGGGAUGAUAAUGACGGUACCGGGAGAAUAAGCACCGGCUAACUCCGUG
rnacentral:rRNA from 1 species